GUGAGGAAUAUUCCGCAAUGGGCGAAAGCCUGACGGAGCGACGCCGUGUGGAUGAUGAAGUCCUUCGGGAUGUAAAAUCCUGUCAGAGGGGAAGAUAUUGACGGUACCCUCAGAGGAAGCCCCGGCUAACUACGUGCCAGCAGCCGCGGUAAUACGUAGGGGGCGAGCGUUGUCCGGAAUCAUUGGGCGUAAAGCGCGCGUAGGCGGUGACUUAAGUCGAGUGUAAAAGGUAUGGGCUCAACUCAUAUUCCGCGCUCGAUACUGGGUCGCUUGAGAGAGUCAGAGGGAAGCGGAACUUCCGGUGUAGCGGUGAAAUGCGUAGAUAUCGGAAGGAACACCAGUGGCGAAGGCGGCUUCCUGGGACUCUUCUGACGCUGAGGUGCGAAAGCUAGGGGAGCAAACGGGAUUAGAUACCCGAGUAGUCC
rnacentral:rRNA from 1 species